rnacentral:rRNA from 1 species
CCUACGGGGGGCAGCAGUGGGGAAUAUUGCACAAUGGGGGAAACCCUGAUGCAGCCACGCCGCGUGAGGGAAUAAGUAUUUCUGUACUUUAAGCCCUUUCAGCCGGGAAGAAAAUGACGGUACCUUCCUAAGAAGCCCCUGCUAAAUACGUGCCCGCCGGCGCGGUGAUACGUAGGGGGCAAGCGAUAUCCGGAUUUACUGGGUGUAAAGGGAGUGUUGACGGCAGCGGAAGUCCCGCGUGAAAGCCCAUGGCUGAAACAUCGUACUGCGUUGGAAACUGUGCAGCUAGAGUGCAGGAGAGGUAUGCGGAAUUCCUAGUGUAGCGGUGAAAUGCGUAGAUAUUAGGAGGAACACCAGUGGCGAAGGCAGCAUACUGGUCUAUAACUGACGUUGAGGCUCGAAAGCGUGGGGAGCGAACAGGAUUAGAUACCCCAGUAGUC